CCCUCAUUUACACUUCAACACUUAGAACAAAAAAAAAAAAAGACAAGAACUUGAGAGCCCUUCAACCCACUGUUUCGGCCAAGGUGGAAGAAAACAACCUCCCAUUUUUAGCUUCCCAAAAAUUAAUUCCUUGGUGUUAACCCACUAAUUUAAGGUCCUUAAGUAACGUGGAAGCAUCGUUUGAACGAUCAAGUCUUUCAUUUAAGAGAUUUGCAAACCCUAGCUACUUGGUGGAAGUGAAGAACAAAGACUUUGGGGAGCCCGAGGCGUAGAUUUGGAUUAGCUUUAGAUUGGCUAUCUUGGAAGUGCGUUCGAGGUACAGACGCACAGUUUGGUGAUUCACCAGUUUAGGACAUCCCCUUCUGUUGGUUGGAGUGCUCUUCCCAUUUCAGAGCAUAUAUGUUGGUAUAUAUUUGUUCGCUGAGUAUGUACAUAUUGGUUCAGGGGUACGGCGGGGCCCUGUCCCGCCAUAUGUUUUGAUCGGUCUGUUUAGAGGUCUGUAGACGUAUUUGUGGGUGUGUGUGCCUACUUCUGUACAAUUGUGUUUAUAUGAUUCUAUUCGUUAUGGCAGCCUUGUCGGCGUGCAUUUGUAUAUGUGUUCUGGGCCGUUGUGCCAUUUGAUAGCCUUGUCGGCUUUUGACAUAUUUGAUAGCCUUGCCGGCUUUUUGAGAUAUGUGUAUAUGUUCGGCGAUGUAUAUUCCGCCGCCCCUUCUGAUUCUGAUAUGAUGUUUUGUACGCGCAAUCGCGCAAGAUAAUAUUCAUUCUCAACUUUGUUUUAAAAUUAUGAAUAUGAAAUUCGUGUUA